rnacentral:lncRNA from 1 species
AGUUGCAUCUCUUUCUCUUUUCUACAAAUUCUAUCAUGGUGGCUGCUCAAAAGAGUUUUUAUCUCUAGUUCCAUUAAUAAAAACUCAUUCUCGCUUGACUCUUUAUUAUGCUAAGUCUCAUUCAUUAGUUAUUAAAUUUUAUUAAAUAUAAUAAAUGUAAAUAAAUAAUGUUUAUUGAGUCAAUAUACUAAAAACAAUAAAGAUAAAAUUGAGGAAGAUAAAAUUAUCAAAGAAGUUUUUAUACAGGACUGCUUCAACCGUGUUAACCUGUUAACCGUGUUAAUAUACCAAAACAAAAAUUAAUUCAGUAAAUUUCAGUAUUUAUUGUCCUAUUUAAAUCAAAAAUUAAAUAAGAAUUAAGAUAUUGCCAUUAAAGUUAAAUUUAGUAACUUAAACAAUGAAUUUUUGAAUAUUUCCCAAAAAAAACCAAAAAAAUGGACCCCUAUGUUUUUUUUCCAAAAAAACGACCAAAAAAACCAAAAAAACAAGAACCAAAAAAACGCGUCACAUCUCUAGUUGGACUAAAAGUCAUUGGACUUCAAAUGGAACAGCAAUUAGACAAUUUCAACAGGUUUCAAAACCUACAAAGUCUCCAUAUAUUAUGGAUUUAAUAUCUAAAGCUGAACCAGUGCUUCCAGAAGAGCAGCUUCUUCUUGAAGUUGAGAAUGAACAACUAAAAUCAAAACCAUCUAUCAAUAUUCUUGCGAUUUUGAAUAGAAAUCUUUUUCAACCGAAAAUAUAUGUUUAAUAUUUGCGGAGUUUAAACGCCUUUACCCACACUAUAGUUUUAUAGAAGAAUCAUGUUCAUUUUUUAUUACUAAAGCUUUUGCAGGAUCUUCUAAUCACCUUGAAAGUUUGCUUGUUUUACAAUGUAAAUUAGGUUCCAAAAAAGCAAAGGAUUUGUUGUUUAAGAAAUCUGAAUCUGACGAUCUGGUCGAUGAGUUGAAGAUACCUGCAAAGUACGGUCCACAAGUUCUUUUCAACUCAACACAAUAUGGCGUUCACAGUAGAUCAGGAUGCGAAAUGAUUAGCACAGAUUUACGGAAAAUCAAAGAGGUUUUAUGCGUUAUUGUUAGCAUUUACUAUUUGUUAGAUCUAUCGUAUCCAUCUUCUUUUU